rnacentral:tRNA from 2 species
GCUUAGCUCAGCUGGUUCAGAGCAUCUGCCUUACAAGCAGAGGGUCGGCGGUUCGAAUCCGUCAGCG